UUUUACGUGCCACCUGCACAGGUGCCAGUGCAUGCAGGUUAAUUACAAUAUAUAUAUAUAUAAUACCUACACAUGUAUGUUAAAGUCUUUUAUUGUCUGAAAUUUGCAUUCUGCAUAUGCAGGAUGAAAUUCUUUCAAAAUGUUUGUGGAGAGUGAAGAUAUUAAUAAAGUCUAUC